GUCAUGAUGCCAGAGUGGUUAAUGGGUAAGACUUGAAUCCUCAGCGAUAGAUAUCUUAUGGCUUCGGCCUCGCAGGUUCAAAUCCUGUUCAUGACG
rnacentral:tRNA from 1 species